AACGUAGGAGGCGAGCGUUAUCCGGAUUUACUGGGUGUAAAGCGCGUGCAGGCGGUCGGUUAAGUUGGAUGUGAAAGCUCCCGGCUCAACUGGGAGAGGUCGUUCAAAACUGGCGGACUGGAGAAUGGUAGGGGAAGGUGGAAUUCCGGGUGUAGUGGUGAAAUGCGUAGAUAUCAGGAGGAACACCGGUGGCGAAGGCGCACAUCUGGCCCGAUGACUGACGCUGAGGCGCGAAAGCUAGGGGAGCAAACGGG
rnacentral:rRNA from 1 species